AAGACUAUAGACCUGCGGAGUACCUGCGGAAGGAUCAUUACAUGGCGGAGAAGGUGGGCAACCUGGCCAACAUCCAGGUUGUGAUGCCUUCACGCUCUUCCACCCUUGUCUAUUUGCACCUUCUGUCGUUCCCUCGGCGGGUUUCGACCCGCCGGCGGCAACAUUGAAAAACCCUUUUUGCAGUUAGCAUUCAAUUCUUCUGAUCAAAUAUUAAAUCAUUACAACUUUUAGCAACGGAUC
rnacentral:misc_RNA from 1 species